UACAGAGGGGGCAAGCGUUAUUCGGAAUUAUUGGGCGUAAAGGGCGCGUAGGCGGCCUGGCAAGUGGAAGGUGAAAUCCCUCGGCUUAACCGGGGAACUGCAUCUGAUACUGGAUGGCUUGAGAUUGGGAGAGGGAUGCGGAAUUCCAGGUGUAGCGGUGAAAUGCGUAGAUAUCUGGAGGAACACCGGUGGCGAAGGCGGCAUCCUGGACCAACACUGACGCUGAGGAGCGAAAGCCAGGGGAGCAAACGGG
rnacentral:rRNA from 1 species